rnacentral:rRNA from 2 species
AGAGUUUGAUCAUGGCUCAGGACGAACGCUGGCGGCAUGCCUAAUACAUGCAAGUCGAACGAGCUUCCGUUGAAUGACGUGCUUGCACUGAUUUUAACAAUGAAGCGAGUGGCGAACUGGUGAGUAACACGUGGGAAAUCUGCCCAGAAGCAGGGGAUAACACUUGGAAACAGGUGCUAAUACCGUAUAACAACAAAAUCCGCAUGGAUUUUGUUUGAAAGGUGGCUUCGGCUAUCACUUCUGGAUGAUCCCGCGGCGUAUUAGUUAGUUGGUGAGGUAAAGGCCCACCAAGACGAUGAUACGUAGCCGACCUGAGAGGGUAAUCGGCCACAUUGGGACUGAGACACGGCCCAAACUCCUACGGGAGGCAGCAGUAGGGAAUCUUCCACAAUGGACGAAAGUCUGAUGGAGCAAUGCCGCGUGAGUGAAGAAGGGUUUCGGCUCGUAAAACUCUGUUGUUAAAGAAGAACACCUUUGAGAGUAACUGUUCAAGGGUUGACGGUAUUUAACCAGAAAGCCACGGCUAACUACGUGCCAGCAGCCGCGGUAAUACGUAGGUGGCAAGCGUUGUCCGGAUUUAUUGGGCGUAAAGCGAGUGCAGGCGGUUUUUUAAGUCUGAUGUGAAAGCCUUCGGCUUAACCGGAGAAGUGCAUCGGAAACUGGGAGACUUGAGUGCAGAAGAGGACAGUGGAACUCCAUGUGUAGCGGUGGAAUGCGUAGAUAUAUGGAAGAACACCAGUGGCGAAGGCGGCUGUCUAGUCUGUAACUGACGCUGAGGCU